GGGGAAAGUAGAGACAGGUGGUGCAUGGUUGUCGUCAGCUCGUGUCGUGAGAUGUUGGGUUAAGUCCCGCAACGAGCGCAACCCCCUAUUGUUAGUUGCUACGCAAGAGCACUCUAGCGAGACUGCCGUUGACAAAACGGAGGAAGGCGGGGACGACGUCAAAUCAUCAUGCCCCUUAUGUCCUGGGCUACACACGUAAUACAAUGGCGGUCAACAAAGGGAUGCAAAGCCGCGAGGCAGAGCGAACCCCAAAAAGCCGUCCCAGUUAGGAUCGCAGGCUGCAACCCGCCUGCGUGAAGUCGGAAUCGCUAGUAAUCGCGGAUCAGCAUGCCGCGGUGAAUACGUUCCCGGGCCUUGUACACACCGCCCGUCACACCAUGAGAGUCGGGAACACCCGAAGUCCGUAGCCUAACCGCAAGGAGGGCGCGGCCGAAGGUGGGUUCGAUAAUUGGGGUGAAGUCGUAACAAGG
rnacentral:rRNA from 1 species